rnacentral:rRNA from 1 species
CCAGUUCGGAUUGUAGUCUGCAACCCGACUACAUGAAGCUGGAAUCGCUAGUAAUCGCGGAUCAGAAUGCCGCGGUGAAUACGUUCCCGGGUCUUGUACACACCGCCCGUCACACCAUGGGAGCCGGAAAUGCCCGAAGUCAGUGACCCAACCAAUAAGGAGGGAGCUGCCGAAGGCAGGUCUGGUGACUGGGGUGAAGUCGUAACAAGGUAAC